rnacentral:rRNA from 1 species
AUGCCGCUCGAUUCGUCCGCCACUAUUGAUGCCACACGAACCCAAAAUCUCCGGGCAGUUCGCCGGCACAAAGACAUCUGUGCACUCUGUGAACCCCCUCGCGUAGAGGCACGAGCGGGUCUGCAGCCCACUUCACCGUGGUUCCCUCGGGCCGCGGGCCGCGGCGACGAGGUCGUGGCAGCGUGGCAAGAGUGUCAGGCCCCUCCUAUCGAAGGGGCUCGUCGUCCCAAAGGCGUCCUGUGGGGACUCGCCGGAGAAUUAGAAGUGUGCAAGGAGACCGACAUGGAGGACCUACUGUACCGCGUUCCCAUCUUUGAUCCCGCCCUCGCGGAGCUCUGCUUGCUGUCGUCACUGGAGGAAGCGACGACGUUCGUCGCGUCGUGCCGUGAUGAGGACGACCACAUCGCCGAGAACCCAACACCAAGCCAAGUGCAACGUCGUCUCCGGCGCCCAUUCAGCCUUGGAAGCUUUGGUCCGACGGAUGCUAAGCUCAUGGAGUUCGCCGCCGACAUCAGAGCCCAAGGUUUCCGGCGAUAUAUGCUCGAGAUCGAUUUCGACCUUAGGCAACACCGGACUACAACGCGGCAAGCAGGCGUGCAACUGCCGACAUUCAGUUCCUCCGAGGAGCCUCACUACGCUCAAUCUAUUAGGUGGCCAUUGAGAGACCUGCUUGCGUGA